rnacentral:rRNA from 1 species
GAUGAACGCUGGCGGCGUGCCUAAUACAUGCAAGUCGAGCGAACGGACGAGAAGCUUGCUUCUCUGAUGUUAGCGGCGGACGGGUGAGUAACACGUGGAUAACCUACCUAUAAGACUGGGAUAACUUCGGGAAACCGGAGCUAAUACCGGAUAAUAUUUUGAACCGCAUGGUUCAAAAGUGAAAGACGGUCUUGCUGUCACUUAUAGAUGGAUCCGCGCUGCAUUAGCUAGUUGGUAAGGUAACGGCUUACCAAGGCAACGAUGCAUAGCCGACCUGAGAGGGUGAUCGGCCACACUGGAACUGAGACACGGUCCAGACUCCUACGGGAGGCAGCAGUAGGGAAUCUUCCGCAAUGGGCGAAAGCCGGACGGAGCAACGCCGCGUGAGUGAUGAAGGUCUUCGGAUCGUAAAACUCUGUUAUUAGGGAAGAACAUAUGGUAAGUAACUGUGCACAUCUGGACGGUACCUAAUCAGAAAGCCACGGCUAACUACGU